GGAAAAGGAUGUGGGGUCUCUAAAACAACCAGGAUGUUGGCUUAGAAGCAGCCACCAUUUAAAGAGUGCGUAAUAGCUCACUGGUCGAGAGACCCUGCGCCGAAGAUUACCGGGGCUAAAGUACGAAACCGAAGCUGUGGCUACGACGUAAGUCGUGGGGUAGGGGAGCGUUCUGUGAGGGCUGAAGUCGUUCUGUAAGGAACGGUGGACUUCACAGAAGUGAGAAUGUUGGUAUGAGUAGCGAAAAGAAUGGUGAGAAUCCAUUCCACCGAAAGCAUAAGGAUUCCUGGGCAACGAUCGUCGUCCCAGGGUAAGUCGGGACCUAAUCCGAGGCAUGGAGCGUAGGAGAUGGACAACUGGCAGAUAUUCCAGUACCGGUAAUGAUUGUUUGAGCGAUGGAGUGACACAGGAGGGCAGGCAGGCAGGAGAUUGGUUGUUCCUGUACAAGCGUGUAGGAUGGGACGUAGGCAAAUCCGCGUCCUGUGAGUCUGAGGCGUGAUGUGGAGGUUCCGGAAACGGAACUGAAGCUGCUGACCCCACACUGUCGAGAAAAGCUUCUAGUUAGAGAAUUACCGCCCGUACCGUAAACCGACACAGGUAUGCGGGGAGAGAAUCCUAAGGUGCGCGGGAGAACCCUCGUUAAGGAACUCGGCAAAAUGUACCCGUAACUUCGGGAUAAGGGUAGCCGCUGUUGUGAAGUCUGAACAGAUGGAGCAUGAGGCGGUCGCAGAGAAGAGGCCCAAGCGACUGUUUACCACAAACACAGGUGCCUGCUAAAGAGAAAUCUGACGUAUAGGUGCUGACACCUGCCCAGUGCCGGAAGGUUAAGGAAGGAUGUCCGGAGCAAUCCAAAGCAUUCGACCGAAGCCCCGGUGAACGGCGGCCGUAACUAUAACGGUCCUAAGGUAGCGAAAUUCCUUGUCGGGUAAGUUCCGACCCGCACGAAAGGUGUAACGAUUUGGGCACUGUCUCAACGAGGGACCCGGUGAAAUUGAAGUACCUGUGAAGAUGCAGGUUACCCGCGACUGGACAGAAAGACCCCAUGGAGCUUUACUGUAACCUGACAUUGGGUUCUGAUACAUCACGUACAGGAUAGGUGGGAGGCAUGGAAGCGAGGACGCUAGUCUUCGUGGAGCCGCCGUUGGGAUACCACCCUUGAUGUAUCGGAAUUCUAACCGUAGGAGUAACGAAACUCGGGACAGUGUCAGGCGGGCAGUUUGACUGGGGCGGUCGCCUCCCAAAGAGUAACGGAGGCGCCCAAAGGUUCCCUCAGCGCGGCCGGAAAUCGCGCGAAGAGUGUAAAGGCAGAAGGGAGCUUGACUGAGAGCCAAACACGGCGAUCAGGUACGAAAGUAGGGCUUAGUGAUCCGGUGGCAUCCAAGUGGAAGGGCCAUCGCUCAACGGAUAAAAGCUACCCUGGGGAUAACAGGCUAAUCUCUCCCAAGAGUCCAUAUCGACGGGGAGGUUUGGCACCUCGAUGUCGGCUCAUCACAUCCUGGGGCUGAAGUCGGUCCCAAGGGUUGGGCUGUUCGCCCAUUAAAGUGGUACGUGAGCUGGGUUCAGAACGUCGUGAGACAGUUCGGUCCCUAUCCAUCGCGGGCGCAAGAGAUUUGAAGGGGGCUGCUCCUAGUACGAGAGGACCGGAGUGGACGAACCAAUGGUGUACCAAUUAUCUCGCCAGAGGUAUAGUUGGGUAGCUACGUUCGGAAAGGAUAAACGCUGAAAGCAUCUAAGCGUGAAACCAGCCUUAAGAUGAGAUCUCUCAUAGAGUAAUCUAGUAAGACACCUUGG
rnacentral:rRNA from 1 species